rnacentral:misc_RNA from 1 species
UCAAACUUGGUCAUUUAGAGGAAGUAAAAGUCGUAACAAGGUCUCCGUUGGUGAACCAGCGGAGGGAUCAUUACCGAGUUUACAACUCCCAAACCCAUGUGAACAUACCUAUCGUUGCUUCGGCGGGAUUGCCCCGGGCGCCUCGUGUGCCCCGGAUCAGGCGCCCGCCUAGGAAACCAAACUCUUGUUUUAUUUGGAAUCUUCUGAGUAGUUUUUACAAAUAAAUAAAAACUUUCAACAACGGAUCUCUUGGUUCUGGCAUCGAUGAAGAACGCAGC